rnacentral:lncRNA from 1 species
UGCCUUCUUGCUUAGAUCUCUUCCUACAGAUGCCUGAUUCUUUUUGUUUAAUGUGUUAUGUGCAGGGUUAUUGCCAGGAGUGGUCUUUUGGGUUUUGCGAGAACGGCGUGUCCAGGACUCCAGGUUAAAACCAGCCGCCCUCCGAGCAAGAGCACCAUGUACCUCUACUACGAGGGCAUGCCAGGUUUUCCACAAGCUUAGCCGCGAGUCAUACGACUUCCUCCGCAGGAACUGUAACCACUUGUACUACGCUCUGCCAUAAUCUCCGCAUCCCCAAGCUUCCAAGUAAGGGUAGGAGAUUUAGCCUUUGUUCUUCUGAUUAGCCACUGAACUAAGGUCUUCUUUAUAAAAAUUAGUCACUGGACUGUAUUUGUAGGCACUGUGUGGUGGCGUUUGACACAUCUUAAUAUCAUGAUUUACUAUAGAAAUGGCCACAUAUCUGUAGUAUUUUUUUGUUCCCAAAACCAGAAUUGGUCCAACUGUAAUUUUCUUGUUACUUCUCAGAAUUGAAGCUUGGUACCGAUACUAGCUGCAUACCAGUACCAGAAAAAAAAAAAUCUGAUUUGGCCACACUCCAUCCACUGGCUACAUACUCGAAGUGGUUGUCUGGAUAAAUAAAAUUAGCGCCCAGUUUUUCAAAGAACGUAUUUUCAUUUGAUAUUUUUUGGAAAAUCCAAUUUUACUUAUAAUUCACGUAAUAAGUACGCGCAGAGUCUGUUUGGACUAGAAAAUUGUAGUAUCCAUUGAAAUUCGCCAGAUAGACAUACAUGUUUCCACUUGAAUCCAAGCAAACUAUCAUGUAAAUUAGAUAAAUUGUACAAUUUUUUGACUGAACCAUGAAUUUUUGUGAUGGCUUACCUACUUUAAAAAUUAUAAUUUAUGGUCUUGACAAUUGAGGUGAACAUGGUCAAGUGCUGAGCAGUUUGGGGUCAGAGAUUGACAAUUGAGAUUUCUUUUCACCAAAAAGAAAACUUUGUACCAAUUAUUCUUGUCUGUUUUCCACUCUGAUGCUUUAGAUGUUUAAUGGUUUCAUAGUCUUUUUGUCUAUACAGUCAGUGUAUUUGCUAAUUGUCAAGUUUGUACAGGUUAUGAUCAUUACCCUUCAACCGGGUUAUUUGAAAGAACGUUUAAUCCCUUGCUGAGCAUAAUUUGUGUAGGCAAAAGUAGCAAUCUCAUUUGUUUGUUCUAUUGUCAGAAUGACGGAUGGUACAUGGAACUAGUAGUGCAUGUCAAUUCAGUUGGUAAUAUUGUUGUACUCUAAAGGAAUUACCUUAUUUUGUUUCAUUCUAUUCAUGUAGGUGCUGUGUGUUUUGCACAAGAUAAUUACCGUGUAGCAGGUCAUGUGCAGUUUUAAAUUUAUUUAGCACAAGUGUGCAUGCACACACACACACAUAUAGAGUAUAGAUCUUUUUGAUAGUGUGGCUGUUGUCCUUUAUUUACCAGCUUAAUAUGAUUGCUGCCUUGGUCUACUUUAUUAUUCAUAAACGAUGAUAGGUAGCAAUUUUCUUAUUCAAGAAUAGUUUUCUUUGCAAAGUUGUGUAGAAGAGCGUCAUGCACAUUUUUCAGAGAGUAUUGACAUCUGAGAGGGAGGUUCACAGCAAAAAAGAGAAGGGCUGCUUCUUAUGCUUCCAUGUCAUUCUACCUUCAGUUUUGGUAAACAAUGUGUGAGCCCAAAUAUUCAGAUCCCAGUGAGCUUUCACAUUUAGUUUGACGGAAGCAUGUAAAAGUGCACCCAGCAAUAUAUUUUGAUGGCACUUGAUUUAAAAUUAUUAAGUGCAGCUGAUUGCAUAAGAUGGUACCUUAUGGAAGAACCAAGCACUUAAAGUAUAUUAGUGUUAGCACUCAGAGUCAGGCAACUGUAAGAAUUUGCUGGGUUUAGUUGGUGUUACCUUGUAUAAUAAGAUGGAUAAGGGUCGGAGUACUCGCCCAAGUAUUUAUUUUGAUAUUAUAAUUUAUAUAUACGGCUCUGAUAUGCGAUAGUGGCUUCCAUUUUUAAUACAAUAGUUGAUGUUACUUUUCUGGGAUUAGAUGGAAGAGGUGAACAUUCACUUUAUAUAAUAUUCCCGUUCAAGUCCAUAACUGAUGGAAGAAGUCAGGGUUAACUCUAUGUUUCAGGUCCCAAGCUUCAACAAUUUAUUUGUAAUGACACAGUUGAUCUUGGCUUCCUACUCUUAAGAGUUUAUUUGCUCUAACAAGGUAUAAAAGAGACACAGACAAUCUGCACAUAUCCUAGCCUACCAGGGAUGGAUUAAUGACUAACUGAGCUUUUUCCUGGCUUUGACUUCAGAGAUUGUAGUUAACUCUGUGCCAGGAAUAUGUAGUUUGGGAUUGGUUUUACUACUGAAUAUAUAUAUAACUUUAGGGCAACUCUUAUAUUCACUUAGAUAUUUUAGCUAGCUGAAGAAAAGAAAAAAUACUUUUUGAAUGUGCUAUGAUUAUGCCUGCCCAAGAUAGGAAGGGUGAUACUUUAUUUCCUUUUUGUUUUGUUGAAAUCUAAUCUAUCUUGGAAAAUGCAACUUUUGAUGUAUAUUUGUUUUACUAUCUUUGUUUUUGUUUGAAUAUUGUGAAUGAGCAGCAUGAACACGGCGUCUAGAGGAGCACACAUAGCAAUGGAGUGAUGAUUGAUGAAUGAUGCCUUCGUUUUCUAGAUGGCAAAACUUGUAUAAAACACAGUCAAAUGUAUGUACCCCAAAACAAUCUGACUAGGCAAAAGUAAAUGAGUAUAUCUUGAUUGGUGCCGAACAUACAAAAUUGUGGAUACAACAAUGGAGCUCUGUGGAGCAAGUGAGCAACUAGCACUUGCUAUUUACCAGUUUAUAUAGAUGCCACCUUUAGAGGGCCACUAAAUAUACUAAUUUCAGGUUUCAGCCCAUUAAAGCAAUGCAAUAACUCUGUACCUCCUCUCUUGUACAUUCUUAUUUCUUUUUACAUUACUAUUCUCAAAAUAGUGCAACGACGGGGUAACAAGAUGAUGAGUACGGUUACAUGUACCGACCAAGUCGGCUUAUUCAUUCUCUUGACACUGCUGGAUUUGUCUUGUAGUAUGUGGCACUUACACAAUUCUAUAUACUUGUUUCAAACCUUCAAAGAUCAUUUUUGUUUUGUAAAUAGGCUUUAUCCCAGUAUUCUGGCAUCACUUUAGUAGCAAGUAGAUGUGUCUCUUUAUCCCUGAUUGCAUUAUGUAUAAACUUUAUGGAUAAUUAACCAUACACGAUUAUUUGACACAUUCUCAGAAAGACAGAGACAUAUCCGCACAAAACAUACAACAAUUUUGUUAGCUUAUCAAGAAAAACAAUUCCUAAGAAAAUCAGUGAGGCGCGGCGUGCCGCCGCGCACUACUCGCUAGUAUAUAACACACCCGAAAUGAUCUCCGUUAUACUAGUACAUGUGGAGUUGCUGUCCAGUCCCUGCCAAACCCAAUUGUCACUUUGCUAGCUCCAAAAAGGGUGCAGCUUUGCUUAUUUUCCUCUCCUUCCCUAUUUGCAUCCUCCCCAAGCCCAGGCAGGCAUGGCGCACCACGCGCCGUCCAACUCUCUCAUACUCUUCCUGGUCCUCACUUCCAUCCAAGACGGCAGAGGUGCGACGUCGCGUCCAUCGCCGGCGCCGGCGGGAUACGUGCCGGUUCGCGCCGUGGUGUACCGAUCGGUGGCGCUCCCGGCCGCGACGGUAGCCGCCGCCGGGGACGAGGCGCCGGGCGGAGGAAGUUACGAGCCGUUCCAGCUGUGCAUGGGGUGCCGGUGCUGCGCGGCGGCAGGGAGCGGCGGCGCGAGCAGCUCAUGCGUGGACACGCGGUGCUGCUACGCCAUCGACUGCAACGUCCCCGGCAAGCCCUUCGGCGUCUGCGCCUUCUCCCCCCGCACAUGCGGCUGCGGCGCCGGCGCCGGCGCCGGCAACAACUGCACCGCCACCUAGGGACACCGAUCAGCCUCGUCACCGUUCAGCCAACGAUCGUCCUCAUCAACCUGCUAGCUGUUUUCGACACGCUAUUACUUUUACUUCAAUUUGGAAAAAAGGUUAUAUGCCUACCAAAUGGCACUGCAGAUAUAGCUCAAGAUUUGUUUUUUAUUUCCUUGUAUUACUGAUGUCAAUUCUUUUGGGUACUGUCGAAAUAAUUUUGCUCGUCUCUAGAGAGUUGGCAGCUGUUGCAUUUGACUCAUUUUGCCCCCUUCUCUGCCGAACAAAAAUUUCGUUGUUGACUCGUUGCAAAGCAUCGCAAGAUAGAGAGACAGGUACCAGUACCUAACCUUCACUUUCCAAAGCACUGACUCUUGCACGCACCAAAAAAAAAAGUUGCACUGACUAUGACUGCACUCAUGUGCCUAUACGGGCAUAUAUGAGUCACCCGUCAAUAAUUGUGCAAUCGUGCAUGGUCAUUUGAUGCCAAGUGGCACGACGAAAUAUGCACCAAAUCUCCAUCAAUCAAAUGCCAGUAAGCUCUGGCUAGCACUCAAGCCUCCCUCUGCUUUUUCCAAUCAAAAAUCAAAUCUUUUCCUUCCCUUUAUUCUCCAAAACGAAAAUCAUUGGGGAAAUAAAUUCGAUUGGCACGCAAGGGAGAAUGGCCAGUGCGAUAUAUUCUUACGACGAACAAGUGAUCUCCCGACACCACUACAUCAGAUGUGCGAUAUAUUCUUACGACAAAGCGAUACCUCCACAUCAGAUUUGGACUGGACGCUACCAGGUCCGUGGAGAAUAAGAACCACACCGCGCAAUCAAGGACAAGCAGUCGCAAGGCUUAUUUUAGGCAAGAGUGGCAACGGAUGAAAAUUAGAGAGUUCAUCAGAAAUACAUUUAUCUGGCUAGGAGAAAAGAGCGCGGUACUCGGUGGCCUCAUGAGCCAUUUCUUCCAUGCUUCUAUCUUUUCUUUCAACGUCCAGGUCAAGCUUCUCCUUCAUUUCCUUCUCUUUCACGUCAAUCUGUUACAAGGCAAAAUGACAAGCCUUAUGUCAGAAUCAACCAGAAAAGAAAACUGGAUCAGAUAAUAUCAACGGAACACCAAGGUCAUUUUACCGCAUCAUAUAUUUCAUCGUUUUUCUCAAAAUCUCCUUUCUUCCUGGGGAUGACGUGGAUGUGGACAUGGGCAACUGUUUGGCCAGCCUGAGGACCAUCCUGAUAAGUACAAAUAGCUAUAAUUCAGCAGCUGCUCCUUCCGCCAUUGAUUAUUGUGACUUUGUAAGGCAAAGGUGAACAAAGUAACCAAAGGCAAAACCACAGUAAUCAAAUGUAACUUGUUCCACAGCUAACACAUUCUAUUUUGUUGUGUACCACAACAGGAAAAUCAAUAAGGUGAACCCCUUUAAAUUGUACUACCUCUGUUCCUAAAUAUAAGACGUUUUGGUAGUUCAAAUUGAACUAUCAAAACGUCUUAUAUUUGUGAACGGAUGGAGUAGAAGCAAACUACAUAAAAUUUGGACGCUGAGCUAUUCACCACAUAGAUAUAGACUUUACCUGAAUUGCGAAUGUGAUGGAAGAAGCUUCGUGGUACUGCUCGAGCUUUGCACCAACUUCUUUUGCAGUUACCCACAAAUCACUAGUCUCAUCAGAACUUAGAUCAGCAAAUCGUUUCACCUCGCGUUUGGGGCACACGAGGACAUGUGUGUAUUGUCAAGGUAAAAUGGUAUAUACGAUAAAACAUGUGUUCUCGUCAUAUGAAACUUUAAAGCGUAAUAGAUGCUAAACUCCAAAUGAUAAAUGUUGUGAACAGCUGAACGGCAGGACCAAAAAAACAAUGGGGUAUUACCUCAAGUAAAAGUUAUAUACCUGGAACUAACUGCUGCAUACAACUCGAUUAUAUUUUCAUAAGAAGAUGAAGAUCAAUUGGUUGGGAUGACAUGACAUUUAAUAUUACUACUUUUAAAGAAUUAAUGACGGAUGUUUCAACCGUUUUUUAUAAGCCACUCACAUACAUGAAACCAGAUUCUAGUAUCGACAUCCUUGAUAUCUCGAUUUUAUUUAUAUAUCAAUGCAAAAGACUAUGAAAAUAUGCAGCAAUAUAUUCUCCAAUUAAUAACAAAAAUCAGUCAUCCUUUUUUGUUAGAAGUGUUUGGACUGUAUCCAUGAGAUUUAGCAGGCAUAAACAAGCAAGUGAAUCAAAGUAAUCGAUAGUAUGACAAAACCAGGAG